GACAGAGGAUGCAAGCGUUAUCCGGAAUGAUUGGGCGUAAAGCGUCUGUAGGUGGCUUUUUAAGUCCGCCGUCAAAUCCCAGGGCUCAACCCUGGACAGGCGGUGGAAACUACCAAGCUGGAGUACGGUAGGGGCAGAGGGAAUUUCCGGUGGAGCGGUGAAAUGCGUAGAUAUUGGAAAGACCACCAAUGGCGAAGGCACUCUACUGGGCCAUUACUGACACUGAGAGACGAAAAGCUAGGGGAGCGAAUGGG
rnacentral:rRNA from 1 species